CUACGGGGCGCAGCAGUGAGGAAUUUUGCGCAAUGGGCGAAAGCCUGACGCAGCAACGCCGCGUGAGUGAUGAAGGCUUUCGGGUCGUAAAGCUCUGUCAAGUGGGAAGAACCUAUAUAAUGUUAAUACCAUUAUAUACUGACGGUACCACUGAAGGAAGCACCGGCUAACUCCGUGCCAGCAGCCGCGGUAAUACGGGGGGUGCAAGCGUUAUUCGGAAUCAUUGGGCGUAAAGAGCACGUAGGCGGCCUGGUAAGUCAGAUGUGAAAGCCCGGGGCUUAACCCCGGAAGUGCAUUUGAUACUGGCCGGCUUGAGUAUGGGAGAGGGAAGUGGAAUUCCUGGUGUAGAGGUGAAAUUCGUAGAUAUCAGGAGGAACACCGGUGGCGAAGGCGACUUCCUGGACCAAUACUGACGCUGAGGUGCGAAGGCGUGGGUAGCAAACAGGAUUAGAUACCCUGGUAGUC
rnacentral:rRNA from 1 species